CGGUAGCUGGUAGCACCGGACAUUGCGUCCAAGCCAGCAAGUUAUCAACUCAACCCUUCCGGG
rnacentral:ncRNA from 1 species